AUAUGAGGAGUUGGGUACUUGAGCGGCGAAAAUGAAAAGAUAAAGAAUAGAGGUGUUAGGAAGAAAAUUUCCCCCCCAAAUUUUUUUUCCUUUCCCGCUCAAAAUUCUCCAAAAAAAAAAUUUCACACUUACAUUUUCAUUUCCCACACAAAAGUUUCAUUUCUCACACAAAGUUUUUACUCACAAAACUCUCAUUUUCUCUCUAUCUCUGACACGGCCUCUCACAUUCACAUUCACACACACACACAACCCCGCCGGCGCCGACGAGAAGAGCCCAAUCCAGCCCAGCGACGACGCCGACGAGACCGAGCCCAGCCAUCGACCACUCCCUCAUUGAAAGAGAGAAAUGGCAUCUAGGGAUGAUUGCACUGAGAGAUGGUGUGUGAUGACAGGAGGUCGUGGUUUUGCUGCUCGUCAUUUGGUUGAAAAGCUCAUCUCAUAUAACAUGUUCCUCGUCCGAAUUGCCGAUAUGGGCCCCACCAUUAACCUUGACCCUCAUGUGGAGAAUGGAACUCUCGGCCAAGCCUUGCGCUCUGCUCAAGCUGUUUAUGUCUCGGCCAACCCUCAUAAGGCAUGAGAGAGUGAGGGAGCUGAGCAAAAGGUACGGAUGGGACAAGAAAGGAGCAAUGAAGGUGUUUGGAGAAUGGUCGGAUCGCAUGGGUUUGGGGGCCAUGCCCGCAUACUUUGGGGUCCACACUCUCACUCUGGCGCUCUGCUUGCCUUACGCUGUUCUCAUGGAGGCCACCGCUUCUCUAAUCUUCGACUUAUUCCAUUUAAAUGGUCUGGAGCUGUCUCCAUGUGAAGGCCAAUUGAAAGGUAUUGUCCU